UCUCUCUGUUAAAAAGCCUCAAAGCCUUGGUUUGGCCAAACUUAAAGGCAUGCAGGGCUAAGCUUGAUCCCAAAGCCACAAAAAAAUGCCUUUCCAUCUCAAGUACAAGUUCUGCAUGUUGUCAUUUCAUGCUAGAUUGCAACUAUCGCUAGAGUGCUUUUUCUCCCUUUUAGAAACAAUUUUAAGUUUGAAUACAGUAAUGUAAUGAUACUUUUUUGGUGACAAGUGUACCAUAACUUCUACAUUCAAAUGAAUGUUUUCCUUAAAAGUAAUUGCAUUGGGCCAAGGUAAACAUUUAAAAUGCUCUUAUUACAGUUCACUUAUUGUUAUUAGUUUAUUUUUUAUUCAAAUAUAGUUGAUUUACAAUGCUGUACCAAUUUCUACAAUGUGUUUUCUCUCUUUUUUUUUUUUUUGUCUUUUUCUAGGGCCACACCCGAGGCAUAUGGAGGUUCCCAGGCUAGGGUCUAAUUGGAGUUGUAACCGCUGGCCUACGCCACAGCCACAGCAACACCAGAUCCAAGCCGCGUCUUCGACCUACAACACAGCUCAUGGCAAUGCCGGAUCCUCAACCCACUGAGUGAGGCCAGGGAUCAAAGCUGCAACCUCAUGGUUACUAGUUGGAUUCGUUAACCACUGAGCCACGACGGGAACUCCAUAUUUUCUUUUUUUAAAAUAUUAUUUUCCAUCAUGGUCUAGCCCAUGAAACUGGAUAUAGUUCACUGCGCUAUACAGUAGGACAUUUUUUCAAAUACUUUUCAAACCUUUAGUAAAUUGCUUUCGGAGAUAGUUUACCAGCAACACAAAUACACAAUAAAUCCAGUCUCAUUACUUUGUAGUAAUGCAGGUUUAAUUUCUUAUCCUCUCUACUUGUCUUAUAAUUCCCUUGUAUCUUUCAUCCUUUCAACAAUCAAUAAAUAUCAAAUUUUUUAGGUCCUGGGGAUAUGAUGGUGAAUAAGCCUCUCCCGUAUUGAGAGAGAAGAGGUGGAGAAAGAAUAUAUGGGCUGCUCUGGAACCGGACUGAACCAAAUUUCUUCAAUUAGAGUGCCUCCUAGAACUAUUGUUUAUGGAAGCUGGCAUUGGGAAGACAUAAAGUUAAGACAUAAAGGUAAGAUAAGAGGAAAAUGUUCAAUUUAUAUGUCUGAGUUUUAUAGCUUAGUUCAUUUAUUCCUUCAUUCAUUCAUCAAAUAUACCUAG
rnacentral:lncRNA from 1 species